GCAGUUCAGUGUUAGAGCUUCUGCUCUGCAUGCAGAAGGUGCCAGGUUCAAGUUCUGACAUCUCCA